UGCAUCUUACAUCUUUCUGCCAUGUUAUGUCUCUUUCUGCUUUACUCUCCCCUAAUGUAAAAACACAGUAUCAGAAGUGAAGCUCCUCCAAGCUCUUCAGAGGGAUUUCCUCGAUUGGGAUACGGACAAAAGGUGACUGUGAUGGCUGGUUAGCACUGGCUGGUACCAACCAAGAUAUCCUGUACACAGCAUCGCUUAGUAGACAUGUGAUAAAACCACCUGCAGACAGCAGCGGCAUGUCCAACCUUUGAAAUCUCUGACUUUCCUGAGAGAAUUACCACCCAAGGCAUAAGGUAUCUUGAAGGUUAUUUCAGACUGCAAUCAAGAAAUUUAAAUAAUCUGGAAACUAAAGAGAAGACUGUGAAGGUGCAGAGAGUCUUUGUCUACAUGAGCCAGUGGCAGUAGGAAAAUACUGUGGUUAAUAAAAGUGUUUUCUUGAUGGAUCUAUCUAUUA